rnacentral:rRNA from 1 species
GACGAACGCUGGCGGCGUGCUUAACACAUGCAAGUCGAACGGAAAGGCCCUGCUUGCAGGGUACUCGAGUGGCGAACGGGUGAGUAACACGUGGGUGAUCUGCCCUGCACUUCGGGAUAAGCCUGGGAAACUGGGUCUAAUACCGGAUAGGAGCCAUUUUUAGUGUGAUGGUUGGAAAGUUUUUUCGGUGUAGGUUGAGCUCGCGGCCUAUCAGCUUGGUGGUGGGGUAAUGGCCUACCAAGGCGGCGGCGGGUAGGCGGCCUGAGGGGGUGGACGGCCACAUUGGGGCUGAGAUACGGCCCAGACCCCUACGGGGGGCAGCAGGGGGGAAGAUUGCACAAUGGGCGCAAGCCUGAUGCAGCGACGCCGCGUGGGGGAUGACGGCCUUCGGGUUGGAAACUCCUUUCGCUAGGGACGAAGCUUUUUGUGACGGUACCUAGAUAAGAAGCACCGGCUAACUACGUG